AAUGAAACGCUAGCUACAGGCUUAACACAUGCAAGUCGAGGGGCAGCAUGAAAGGAACUUCGGUUCUUCUUUGAUGGCGACCGGCGCACGGGUGCGUAACGCGUAUCGAACCUGCCUCAUACUCGGGGAUAGCCUUGCGAAAGUAAGAUUAAUACCCGGCGGUCUCGGAUGGCCGCAUGACUAUCCGAGUGAAGAUUUAUCGGUAUGAGAUGGCGAUGCGUCCCAUUAGCUAGUUGGUGAGGUAAUGGCUCACCAAGGCAUCGAUGGGUAGGGGUUCUGAGAGGAAGGUCCCCCACAUUGGAACUGAGACACGGUCCAAACUCCUACGGGAGGCAGCAGUGAGGAAUAUUGGUCAAUGGACGAAAGUCUGAACCAGCCAAGUAGCGUGCAGGACGACGGCCCUCUGGGUUGUAAACUGCUUUUAGUUGGGAAUAAAAAGAGGGACGUGUCCCUUAUUGUAUGUACCAUCAGAAAAAGGACCGACUAAUUCCGUGCCAGCAGCCGCGGUAAUACGGAAGGUCCAGGCGUUAUCCGGAUUUAUUGGGUUUAAAGGGAGCGCAGGCGGCGGCGUAAGUCAGUUGUGAAAUCGUGCGGCUUAACCGUGCAAUUGCAGUUGAUACUGCGUCGCUUGAGUGCACACAGGGAUGUUGGAAUUCAUGGUGUAGCGGUGAAAUGCUUAGAUAUCAUGAAGAACUCCGAUCGCGAAGGCAUAUGUCCGGAGUGCAACUGACGCUGAGGCUCGAAAGUGUGGGUAUCAAACAGGAUUAGAUACCCUGGUAGUC
rnacentral:rRNA from 2 species